AUUACCUCAGUAACGGCGAGUGAAGCGGUAACAGCUCAAAUUUGAAAUCUGGGCCUUUUAGGUCCCGAGUUGUAAUUUGUAGAAGAUGCUUUGGGUGUGGUUCCGGUCUAAGUUCCUUGGAACAGGACGUCAUAGAGGGUGAGAAUCCCGUAUGUGACUGGGUACCUUCGCCCGUGUAAAGCUCUUUCGACGAGUCGAGUUGUUUGGGAAUGCAGCUCAAAAUGGGUGGUAUAUUUCAUCUAAAGCUAAAUAUUGGCCAGAGACCGAUAGCGCACAAGUAGAGUGAUCGAAAGAUGAAAAGCACUUUGGAAAGAGAGUUAAACAGUACGUGAAAUUGUUGAAAGGGAAGCGCUUGUAACCAGACUCGCACGUCGUCGAUCAUCCGGGGUUCUCCCCGGUGCACUCGGCGGCAUUCGGGCCAGCAUCGGUUUGGGUGGUUGGAUAAAAGCUGUGGGAAUGUGGCUCCCCUCGGGGAGUGUUAUAGCCCUCGGUACAAUGCAGCCUACCCGGACCGAGGACCGCGCUUCGGCUAGGAUGCUGGCGUAAUGGUUAUAAGCGACCCGUCUUGAAACACGGACCAAGGAGUCUAACAUCUAUGCGAGUGUUUGAGUGUUAAACUCAUACGCGUAAUUAACGUGAACGGAGGUGAGAACCCGUUAGGGUGCAUCAUCGACCGAUCCUGAUGUCUUCGGAUGGAUUUGAGUAAGAGCAUAGCUGUUGGGACCCGAAAGAUGGUGAACUAUGCCUAAAUAGGGUGAAGCCAGAGGAAACUCUGGUGGAGGCUCGCAGCGGUUCUGACGUGCAAAUCGAUCGUCAAAUUUGGGUAUAGGGGCGAAAGACUAAUCGAACCAUUAACUACUAGGUGGUUAAGAUGCCCGGGAAGUCCGGGUGUUAGUGGGGGGCAGAUUCUAUUAGGGUGUGCCGCCUGCGACACUGUCAAAUUGCGGGGACGUCCUGAUAUUGUAUAGCUACCGCAGCUUUAGGCGAAAGCCUAGGCGCGCACCGGGUUAAUGGCCCUGGGGAUGGUAAGAAUGCUAUGCUAGGGGCUACCUGCAGCCAAGUCCUAGACACCACAGCUCGUGGCGUUCACGGAUGCAGUUCACAGACUAAAUGUCAGUGGGCCUUUUGGGGCUUAAGUUAUAGUCGGUCCCGCCUGGUAAUCA
rnacentral:rRNA from 1 species